UUGAAUAUAUAUGUUUAUAAGAAUAAGAUACACCACUCCUGCUUGCAGCAAGAGGAAAUUGAUCGAUAUACCCUGCUGCAGAAUGGUCGAAUUUUGCAAAAUCUCACAAAGUGAGACAGAACUUUCAUCUGCAAUGUCAGAGUCAAAGUUUUCGCAACAGAGACCGCUCAGGCCAGCAGACAAACAAUUGCGUAAAAACAAUAAACAAUGCUGGCAACAACACGGCAAUCAAGAGCACUGGCUGAGGUGAUUUGGCAAGUGGGGGCAAAGCUGGCUGUGCAACUACCUACAACAGCCGUCGUAUUGCUCAUGUGCAUGCCCACAAUUAAUUUACAAUAAAACAAUCAAUUGAUUACCAUUGCAUCCGGGCGCGUAGCGGAAAUUGUGCGCAAUAUCCUUUUGUUAAGCGGUCAUGACCCCAACAUGGUACAUGAUGACGGGGAGGGGCGAUAACCGUGGACGGACAGCAGUGUCAAGCUGGAGAAAAACUUUCAACCGCAACAAUGGGCAAAGCGACGAACGCGUGCCAAUUUAAAACCCCCAAAUUGACAAGGCCCAGGCACUGGCCCAGACAGACCAAAUAGCUUCGACCCCUCGACGACUGCUGCCCACCUGCCCACCCCUCUACACCCUACAGUUCUACUGCGUGAACUACAACUGAUUAGCGUUGAAAAACGUUCGCGUGCCUCAAGUCUGGCUGUUUGUUACGCCCAGAGGCUUAAUGAAUACAUUACAAAACAAAUGGAAAAACAAUGAAGUGGAGGCACGACUCAGUAAUACCAAACGAUGUUCCAACAAAGAAGUCAGUUUUUAACUAGCACACACUUAUGCACAGUUCAAGCUUGCUUCUCUCGAGCUGAGGCUUACAGGGUAUAAUCAUGUCCGAAGUGUAAACUUGGCGGCGCGUGUCAUAGAUUAUUGUAAAUGUCGUGCAAUUUUUAUGAUUAACCAUGGCUUUAACAAGUGACAACAAAUUAAUUCGACGCGCGGCAAUUGUGGUUUGAAUUAUGUCAGUCGCGAGUGAACGUCAGCGGCAGUGAGUACAUUUGACAUUAAAGUUGGCGAGGGGUUGGCUCAAUUGGAGCAACUUGUCUGCCCAACUUACCUAGGCAGCAACUUGUUAUGCAAAACAUAAGUUUCAGUUGCCAGCAGCUACAGCUACGAGAACAAGCUUGGCUUGCCUUGUGGGUGGCGUUUAAAAAGUUAACACUAGUCAAAGUUAACCAAAUUUGUUGCAUACUUUGCUGCGCCGCUACACAAAACACACUGAGUGAGAGCCACAGUAGCCGACAAGGCACUGACUGCUGCAUACAAUGAACUGAAGGCUGCCACACACAGCCUCCCACUCUUGGCGCCACACAACUGGGGCGCCCCGAAUGGAUAUGGAUGUGGAGAUGCUGAGCAGAAGUUGCGCCGAAAUGCUAAAACGCAGCGGGCGCUCAUCAUCAUCAGGAGAACCAGCAGCAGCAGAGAAUUAUUAUGAAAGUGGAAAGCGAGCAAAGCACAAUGGAUGAGCCACAAUAAAAACGGCUUAAAAUGCAAACUUUUUCAUAGUCCGAAAAUAAUUUGCAUUUCGCAGUUUCGAUUACCAAUAAGCGUUCUUUUUAGACAAAAUAUUUAUUCAGGUUCCGUUUUUGGCGUUUACUUUCAUUGCAGAUUUGUUCAGUUGUGUUUGCCUGAGUUCACGCAAGUUAGAAAUUUGGGAAAAUUACAAAAGUUUUUGUUUGGAGCAUUUAAGUUAUUCAUGAGCAGACGUAAAUUUAUGACGUCAAGACAUUUGUACACUGCAUAUAAAUAUAUAUUCCACGUUUGGAAGUGAGGAGAAAUUUGCAGUAGAUAUGAGUCAAAAACUCUACUUGGGGUGCGCUUAAGCAGGUAAAUUGAUUUCGUGCAGUUUCGGUCGUGAUCGUGUGGGCAACAAUUGACAACAAUGAGAGUAUGUAUGAACACAGCCUAGAAUAGCCAGAAUAUUUUGAUAGAACUUCUGGAAAUUAUAAAUAUCCAGAAUACAAACUUAUUUUACAAAAGCUUUUUGAAAUUAGUUAUUUUAGAAAUUCGUUAAAUUUUAAA